rnacentral:lncRNA from 1 species
UAGAAAAACCUUAGUGUGACCUACUUUCUUGUUGUCUAACAAAAAUUGGCUGACCAAUGGAUGCAUCAUGUGCAAACAAGAAAGCCUUGGUGAUGGUGCACAAUAAAGAAAGUACCACAUUAACCAUGGAAAUGUGAAAAAAAUGUGAAACUAUUGGAAUUUUCUUAAUUUUAUUAUUAAUAUGCUGCCAUUUGUAUAAAAUUAAAACAUUCAUAUAAAUUAAAAUAAUUAUGGAUAAGCAUGAAUGUGGCAUAGAUACAUCAUCAUAAAUCUGAAUAAAUAUAUUGAACUCAAUUUAAUAAAUGAAAACAAAUAAAUGUAUAGAAUGUAUUCAGAAGAGGUGAUAUAUAACUACCAAUUGAUUUUCAUUUUUCAACCAUUAAGGUUUUUAUAUUACUACAGCAACUUUAACAGCAUGCUUGACUUACAACUAAGAUUUUAAAUUAUUUGCAGACUGACUAAGCAUAUUCAAUAGUUGUAGAAACAUGAUUGUCACAAAAAAAAUCCACUCAGUGAUGAAAUCUUUUGAUUAGCAAGCAUUAUUAUUUAUCAAAAGGUACUACAAUGUAAUACUACUGAGGCAACUUUUUUGCCUUGGGCAUACUUGAGGGUGUGUAUUCUGUAAUUUUAAAGGCCAUUUUUCUCUAUCGUUCAUGAUUUAUACUUAUUGCUCAUUUUUCUCUCUUUUUUUAUAUUAGGAACCUAUUAUUUCUAUUUUUUGGUCCCUUUUGUCCUUUCUUUAUAUUUUUUGCCCAUUAUUCUCUAAUCUAGCUGUAGACCACAAUCCACAAUGACUUAUAUAUGUACAUCAUGUAAAGAUCUCAUACUGUGGAUUUAUUUUAUUUUUGGAUACCAAUUUUCUUGAAAUGAGGAAAACUUGUUUUUUUCAUGGAUUUUCCAAAGUCGGUAUUGAAGCCUUUAAAAAAUGUGUACUUCAUGAAAAUAGGUAUCCCAGGAAUAAUAAUAUAUCCACUAUACACCUUCCAAAUGGCUGGUGAUCAUGAAUACUGUUUUUAAAGACAGACUCAAUCAGAAGGAAGCCGCAUAGGUGGAUCCAGGGGGGCCCUGGCCCCCCUUUCAUGGGAAAAAUUUG